rnacentral:rRNA from 1 species
GUGGGGAAUAUUGGACAAUGGGGGAAACCCUGAUCCAGCGAUGCCGCGUGAAUGAUGAAGGCCUUAGGGUUGUAAAGUUCUUUCACCUGUGACGAUGAUGACGGUAACAGGAGAAGAAGCCCCGGCUAACUCCGUGCCAGCAGCCGCGGUAAGACGGAGGGGGCUAGCGUUGUUCGGAAUGACUGGGCGUAAAGGGCGCGUAGGCGGCUUAUCAAGUCAGGUGUGAAAGCCUUGGGCUUAACCCAAGAAUUGCGCUUGAUACUGAUAAGCUAGAGGAUGAUAGAGGAAAGCGGAAUUCCUAGUGUAGAGGUGAAAUUCGUAGAUAUUAGGAAGAACACCAGAGGCGAAGGCGGCUUUCUGGAUCAUAUCUGACGCUGAGGCGCGAAAGCGUGGGGAGCAAACAGGAUUAGAAACCCUAGUAGUCC